rnacentral:tRNA from 1 species
GAUUGGAAAGCGAAAUAAUCGCAUUUAGUUUCGGCCUAAAUUUUGGUAAAUUACCUCCAAUUU